UGGGAUCAUAAAGAGAAACGAAAGGAAAAUUGUGCCCCAGAAAGAACAAGAAAGAUGAGGGAGCACAUCUGAACACCUCGUGUAGCAAACGACAGUGGACUGUAAGAUCCCCACACUUGUGAAAACGUCUCAAUGGGAGCAACUCACUGCCCCGUAAAUCUGCUGAAGAGGUUAGCAGUGGAUGGACCAAAGGAGGAAGUGCGUGCUCUAAUCUCUCUGUUACCCUGGAAACGCUUUAGGUCUCAGACUUUUGGAAAAUAAAACUGACAAACGCACGAG
rnacentral:lncRNA from 1 species